UUCUUUAAGUAUAUUUUUUUUCCCAAAGUGCUGAUUUUCUAUAAUCUGUAAGAUGUAUAACCAGAAGUCGAGAAACAGAAAGAAUACAAAUGUGUCUGAAGCUAAGUCACUUUAUGCACGUGUGUGAUCGGGAGCGCAAGUGCGAGCAUGAACGCGUCUUUCAAAAGCACCUCAAACUACAACGAGAAUUGGGAACGCGAGCUCAGAGUAGGACUGAGAGUGAGCGGAGGGUACUAGUGGAGGAUUAUGUGACUAAGGUCCGAAGUGUAUGUGGGCUACGUGCAUCAACGGUUCUCGACACAAUAGUGUCCAGAGUUGUGUUCUAGAGUUUGUGUUCCUAACAUGGACACAAAUGCGUCUGAAGCUAAGUCACGCUAUGCACGUGUGUGAUUGGGAACGCAAGUGCGAGCAUGAAUGCAUCUUUCAAAAGCACCCCAAACUACAACGAGAAUUGAGAACGCAAGUGCAGAGUUGGAUUGAGAGUGAGCGGAGGGUACUAGUGGAGGAUUAUGUGACUAAGGUCUAAAGUGUAUAUGGGCUACGUGCAUCGACGGUUCUUGACACAGUUGUGUCCGGAGUUGAGUUCUAGAGUUGUGUUCCUAACAUUGCUCAAUGCGUGAGUAAAGUGAUGGUUGCUGCAACACUUGUGCAUUUUUGGUUAGGGACACUGCUUCUGUGUUUGACUUAUUGGCCAAAAUCACACCAUAUGAUUCUUUACUGCAUCUCUCUCUGAAAA